UACGAAGGGGGGCUAGCGUUGUUCGGAAUUACUGGGCGUAAAGGGCGCGUAGGCGGUCCUGAUCGUCGGAUGUGAAAAGGCCUGGGGCUCAACCUGGGGAACUGCAUCCGAUACGGCGGGACUGGAGUGUGGGGAGAGGUUGGUGGAAUUCCCCAGUGUAGAGGUGAAAUUCGUAGAUAUUGGGAAGAACACCGGUGGCGAAGGCGGCCAACUGGACCACAACUGACGCUGAGGCGCGAAAGCGUGGGGGAGCAAACAGG
rnacentral:rRNA from 1 species